rnacentral:rRNA from 1 species
GUGGGGAAUCUUCCGCAAUGGACGAAAGUCUGACGGAGCAACGUCGCGUGAGUGAAGAAGGUUUUCGGAUCGUAAAGCUCUUUCGUUAGGGACGAACGUGCUCUUUGUGAAUAAUGAGGAGUAAUGACGGUACCUAAAUAAGAAGUCACGGCUAACUACGUGCCAGCAGCCGCGGUAAUACGUAGGUGGCAAGCGUUGUCCGGAAUUAUUGGGCGUAAAGCGCGCGCAGGCGGGAUAUCAAGUCUGUCUUAAAAGUGCGAGGCUCAACCUCGUGAGGGGACAGAAACUGGUAUUCUUGAGUGUCGGAGAGGAAAGUGGAAUUCCAAGUGUAGCGGUGAAAUGCGUAGAGAUUUGGAAGAACACCAGUGGCGAAGGCGACUUUCUGGACGAUGUCUGACGCUGAGGCGCGAAAGCUAGGGGAGCGAACGGGAUUAGAUACCCGUGUAGUCC